CGUCACACCAUGGGAGUCGGAAAUGCCCGAAGUCUGUGACCCAACCGCAAGGAGGGAGCAGCCGAAGGCAGGUCGGAUGACUGGGGUGAAGUCGUAACAAGGUAUC
rnacentral:rRNA from 1 species